AAUAAAAUGCUUCGCUGGGCGCAGCUUGAUACGACCGCAGAGGUCGAACCCUGAACAGUUGGGGCAAGUAUGGACACAACAUUUAAGCUUGAUACAGCUCUGAAUUUGGAUUGUGAUUAAAUAUUUGACACAGCAUAGGUUUCUGACACAGAAUGAAUGUGGUCUAAAAACUUAAAAAUUUUAAAUUGGACAUUCACCUAUUAUGGUCCAAUAUCCAAAAUCUAAAUACAUGGUUAGAUUCAGCAUAUCAAAGAACCCCAAGAAUUCAAUUUUUGAUGAAAUCAAACAAAGUUUAAUUUUGGACCCUUUGGACCUCAAUGUGGACCAAUUUAAAAACGGGGC